UACGAGGGGUGCAAGCGUUGCUCGGAAUUAUUGGGCGUAAAGGGUAGGUAGGUGGUCUCAUUUGUCUGGGGUGAAAGCCUUGAGCUUAACUCAAGAAGUGCCCCAGAAACGGUGAGACUGGAGUCCUGGAGAGGGUCGUGGAAUUCCCGGUGUAGCGGUGAAAUGCGUAGAGAUCGGGAGGAACACCAGCGGCGAAGGCGGCGACCUGGACAGGUACUGACACUCAGGCGCGAAAGCGUGGGGAGCAAACAGG
rnacentral:rRNA from 1 species